CUUUUGCUCUCUUUACCCAAAGGAGAUAUACAGCGAUGGAAACCGUGAAGCUUAAGGCACCUGUGACCACACGUUGCCAGUCACUGUGUUCAAGGACAUCAGGCUAAGGAGUGCUGGAAAACAGCAAUGAGUUACAUUGGCCCUAGUGUCUCUUCGCAGCAAUAAAACUGUGACCAGGACACUCUGGAAUACCAGAGAGAUCAAGGCAGGUGAACAACCUUGCCCGUUUGUUGCUUCCUUCCGGGCUGUGUGAGAAAGGCAGUGUGUGAUCCGCAGAAGCUCUCCCUGGAGAUCCUCUACAGAGAAACAAAGCAGAGCGAAUGGGCACAGCAUGGGAGUCUGCCUGGCCAGGAAACCUCCUCUCCCACACACUGCUUCCUGUACAAGGAGAAGGGAAAGCCAACCUCAUGCAGGAAUUCCCACAGCCAGGUAGGUGGGCCUUUGCCUCAAAAGGUACCCAGGUAAGGAAGGAGGUAGGGGUUGGGGGUCAGGGGGUGGGAGAUAAUGUUGGGAUGAGAAGAGAAAGCUUGGUGGGAGGGCAAAGGAGCUUGGGAAGACCUAGGGAUGGUUAGGUUCACUCACUUGCUUAGUGUGGUUUUGAAUUCCUGGAAGGAAAAAGGGAAGGAAACCAAAUCAGUGACCAUAUAACCCUCAUUCCCCCUUUGAGAAAACAUGACUUACCCCCUACCUAACUCCCAGAAAAUAAGCCAUGCCCCCUGAACACAGGCAGCAGGGCUUUCCAGCUCUGGUGGCUACCGUGUUAAGUCAGUUCAGAGUACCCUUCAGCCUUGGCCACUGAUAGGCAAAGUCUUCCUUGUGAAAUCCUCCCUGGGCUACCAGACAAGAGCCAGUGUUUACCACUACCAUGGUUACCACCCGCUACAAGCCACGGUAUCUUCUUUCUUUUGUGUGUGUCAUCAUCCCCCCACUCCCCAGACAGGGUUUCACUGUCUGGCCCUGGCUGUUUGGGAACUCACUAUGUAGACCAGGCUGGCCUCAAACUCACAGCGAUCUGCCUGCCUCUGCCUCCUGAGGGCUGGGGUUAACGGUGUAUGCUACUAUGCCUGUCCUGGGAACUAAUUUUUAAUUAUUUUUCUUUUCUUUUUCCAAGACAGGGUUUCUCUGUAGCUUUGGAGCCUGUCCUGGAACUAGCUCUUGUAGACCAGGCUGGCCUCAAACUCAUAGAGAUCCACCUGCCUCUGCCUCCUGAGUGCUGGGAUUAAAGGCAUGCGCCACCAUCACCCGGCUAGUUAAUUAUUUUUAAAAAAUGUUUACGUAGGAGCUGAAGGGAUGGCUCAGAGGUUAAGAGCAUUGGCUGCUCUUCCAAAGGUCCUGAGUUCAAUUCCCAGCAACUACAUGGUGGCUCACAACCAUCUGUAAUGGGGUCUGGUGCCCUCUUCUGGCCUGCAGCUAUACACACAGACAGAAUAUUGUAUACAAAAUAAAUAAAUAUUUAAAAAAAAUGUUUAUGUAGCCAGGCAGUGGCAGCGCACGCCUUUAGACCCAGCACUUGGGAGAGAGAGGCAGAAGGAUCUCUCUGAGUUCGAAGCUAACCUGGUCUGCAGAGUACCAGGACAGGCUCCAAAACUACACAGAGAAACCCUGUCACGGAAAACAAAAACAGAAAACACAUGUUUAUGUAUGGGUGUUUUGCCUGCCUGUAUGACUGUGCACCACCUGUGCCCACCAGCCAGAAGAGGGUGCCAGAUCCCCUAAAACUAGAGUUACAGGUGAUGAGUCACCAUUUGGGGACUGGGAAGUGCUGUUAACUGCUAAGUCAUCUAUCCAGCUCCAACUUGUUUUUGUUUGUUUUAUUUUUGUUUGCUUGCUCUUCGAGAAAGGGUUUCUCUGAACAGUCCUGGCUCUCCUGGAACUCGCUUUGUGGAUAAGGCUGGCCUUGAACUCAGGCAAACCUCUGCCUUCCAAAUGCUGAGAUUAAAAGAUUAAAGGCGUGCACUGCCGCUGCCUGGUUAGCCCCAACUCUUUUUUUUUAAUAAAAAUAGAAGAGCAUAGGGUACAUUAGAGCAAAUUAAAGACAACAAAGACAAGAAUUGUGUUCUGAGACUGGACUCAAGUGUGAAUAUACAGAUUAAUGUAAAAUAAAUUGUAAAUUAUAAUGAUAACUGUGAAUGUUUUAUCACAUUCCUUUUAACCUUCCAACCAGUGCUCUUUUCUCCAAUCCCCUUCCUCCUGGGGUCUGACUGUUCUCCAGCAGCCUCUCCUAAGGCCUAGGGCAAAGG